GAUGAACGCUAGCGGCAGGCUUAAUACAUGCAAGUCGAGGGACAGCACAGGUAGCAAUACUGGGUGGUAACCGGCAAACGGGUGCGGAACACGUACACAACCUUCCUUUAAGUGGGGGAUAGCCCAGAGAAAUUUGGAUUAAUACCCCGUAAUAUAGUUGAAUGGCAUCAUUUGAUUAUUAUAGCUACGGCGCUUAAUGAUGGGUGUGCGGCUGAUUAGGUAGUUGGCGGGGUAACGGCCAACCAAGUCUACGAUAAGUAGCUGAGGUGAGAGCAUGAUCAGCCACACGGGCACUGAGACACGGGCCCGACUCCUACGGGAGGCAGCAGUAAGGAAUAUUGGUCAAUGGACGCAAGUCUGAACCAGCCAUGCCGCGUGAAGGAUUAAGGUCCUCUGGAUUGUAAACUUCUUUUAUUUGGGACGAAAAAGGGCCUCUCUAGGUCAACUGACGGCACCAGAUGAAUAAGCACCGGCUAACUCCGUGCCAGCCGCCGCCGUAACAC
rnacentral:rRNA from 1 species